UGGAUUUGUUAACCACUGCGCCAUGACGGGAACUCUGAGACAUUGUUUACUUUUGAAAGAAAUUGAGAAGCACUGGACAGUUUUUGAGCAGAGAAGUAAUAUGAUCUAACUUACAUUUUUAAAGGAUUAUUUUAGCUACGUUGUUGGUAAUAGACUCUGGACAGGUAGAAACAGGAAGAUAACAGCAGUAAUAAGGGCAAGAGGAGUUCUGCUACUGGCCAAGAUGGAGUAGCAGGGACUCAAUUUACCCUGCCAUCUGAAACCACUGAAAAACAGGAUGUAAUAUAUUCAGCAAUGAUUUUCAAGUAUUGGACGUUGUUAUGGUUAAUAAUCCUGUAAGGUGGAAAAACAACCAAGGUGAGCCCUGUGAUUGUUCCAGCUUACUGUCUGGGGAGUUUCCAGGUCACAGUGCAGUAGAAGGGGAUUCAACAGGAGCCUAGUGGUCUCACUGAGUUGAAGAAAUGGAGUUGAGAGUUAGAGGGCCAGCCCAGCUGGAAUUCUCAGAGCAGAGUACCAGAGAGGAAAGAUCUGCACAGAGGGAGAAUAUGGAGAUUUGCAGAGGGUCUCGCUGAGUUUUCAGAUGAGUCUGAUCAUCCUGUGCAUGUGAAGAAACUAACCAAGGGCAGCAAAAGAACCUCCUGAAAUUAUUAGCAGGAACAGUUCCUGAGGCUCCAAAAGGACUGGAAUAGUUUGUGUUCCCACCAACCAGAGUGAAAAACUUAAAUAUAUCACUGGACAAAACAUAGAGAACUCAGAAGGGUGUUGCCUCAGAAUUGGAAAAACAUUGCUAUAGACUAAAAGCUUUUCAAUCACACUCAACAAAACUUAAAAGCAAGCCUCAAUCACAGUUGGGCCAAACAAUAGAUUAACCAAAAAUCUUAAAAGGGAAAAGCUGUGGAAUGAAUUGACCAUGGGGCUUUGGAAGUUUCAACAUAUUCCUGGGAUCUAGGAGGCCAUGUGCAUGAGUAGGGCUGUACACAUGUCAGGAGAGACCCGAGAAGGCCCUAAACUGUCACCUCUAACCUGGACACUCUACACAAACAAGAAGGGAAGAUUAGGCAGAGUUGCAAACCUCCUGGAUAAAUCUUAAGCUGUAUUCCAAUAUAACCACAGAACUUCUUUCUUUAUUUAUUUUCGGCUUUUUGCCUUUUCUAGGGCCACUCCCCAGGCUAGGGGUCUAAUUGGAGCUGUAGCUGCUGGCUUACGCCAGAGCCACAGCAACGUGGGAUCCGAGCCGCGUCUGUGACCUAUGCCACAGCUCACGGCAAUGCCAGAUCUUUAACCCACUGAGCAAGGCCAGGGAUUGAACCUGCAACCUCAUGGUUUGUAGUCAGAUUCGUUAAUCACUGAGCCAUGACGGGAACUCCAACCACAGAACUUCUUAGGAAAGAUUGAGAAAUGUAUUGGUUUCAGUCAUUUAAGGAAAUCUCUUUCCAGUUACCAGUUGACCACUAAGCUAACUGAGUGAGGAGUCCAGUGGCUGCAUACAAAAAAGAAUAUAGACUAUAAAAUCAUUUUAAAAGAGUCACUAAACCAUCAACAAAUCAGAAAUAGGAGAGAAUCUGAUUGCCAGAGUUGGUACAUUAUAUUAUUUGAAAUAUCCAGUUUCCAACAAAAUAUUAGGAUGUAUUAAAUCAGCUAUUUAAAAUAUAUUCAAAGAGAGUUCCCUUUGUGGCUCAACAGAUUAAGAACCUGACUAGUAUCCAAGAGGAUGCGGGUUUGAUCCCUGGGCUUGCUCAGUGGGUUAAGGAACCGGUUUUGCCACAAGCUGUGGUAUAGGUUGCAGAUGAGGCAUGGAUCCAGUGUUGCUGUGGCUGUAGUGUAGGCUGGCAGCUGCAGCUCCGAUUUGAUCCCCAGCCUGGGAACUUCCAUGUAUGUGCCAAAGGUAUGGCUGUAAAAAGACAAAAAAAAUGUGUAUGUUCAAAGAACUAAAAUAAAACUUUGUCUAAAGAAAUAAAGUUUGAGAACAAUAUCUCAUCAAAUAGAUAGUAUCAUUAAAAAGAUAAAAAAUAUAAAAAGGAACCAAACAGCAACUCUGGAAUUGAAAAAUAUCUGAAAUGAAACAAGCACUAAAGGAGUUUGCACAGGAAUAAGAAUCAGCAGACUUGAAGACAGGGCAGUUGAGGGUAUUAUACAGCAUAAAGUUUGAAGGGAGUGGGUUCUGUAAGAGCAAAGUUUUUAUUAAUUAUUGUAAUUAAUUUGUAUUAAUUCAAGUUAGAUUGCUAUAAAUUAAGGUGUUAAUGAUAAUCCACAGAGCAAACACUAAGACCAUAAUCUUAAAAUAUAUAGUAAGGGAGUUCCCAUCAUGGUUCAGUGGAAAUGAAUCUGACUAGGAACUAGGUUGCAGGUUCCAUCCCUAGCCUCACUCAAUGGGUUAAGGAUCCGGCGCUGCUGUGAGCUGUGGUGUAGGUCGCAGACAUGGCUCGGAUCCCACAUUGCUCUGCUGGCCUACAUUCUUGCUGCAGAUAUUCCCCACCUCCCCCUUGUUUUAAGGCGGCACCUGCAGCAUAUGAAAAUUCCCAGGCUAGGGAUCAAAUAGGAGCUAUAGUUGCCAGCCUACAUCCCAGCUAGGUGGGAUCUGAGCUGCAUCUGUGACCUACAGCCACAGCUCACAGCAACGCCAGAUCUUUAACCCACUAAGGGAGACCAGGGAUUGAACCCAUGUCUUUACAGUUACCUGGGUUUGCUACCGCUGGGCCACAACAGGAACUCCUAGAAAUCCCUUUAUUGUUUACAACAAAGAUCCAGGAUAAGAACCCUCUCAAAUAAUAUGCUAUAUCUAUUUCAGCUAAAUCCCUCAACUCAGGAUUCUAACAUCAAACAAAACCAAGCAAACUAACACUUUUACAAAAUAACUUUUAUGUGUAUGUGCCAUUUGAUAUGCCAGCUAUAGGGUUUUGGAGAUUAUUAAAUCCUGGACAUUUCCCCCACCAAAUUUCAGGCAUAUUAUCAGGCUGAUAACUGCAUUUAAAAGAGAUUUUAGGGGACUUCCCAUUGUGGUACGUCGGAAACAAAACCAACUAGUAUCCUUGAGGAUGAGGGUUGGGAAUCUGGCAUUGCCGUGAGCUGUGGUGUAGGUUGCAGAUGUGGCUCGGAUCUGGUGUUGCUGUGGCUGUGGUGUUGGCCAGCAGCUACAGCUCCAAUUCAACCCUUAGCCUGGGAACUUCCGUUUGCCACAAAUGCGGCCCUAAAAAGCAAAAAAAAAAAAAAAAAAAAAAAAAAAAAAAAAA
rnacentral:lncRNA from 9 species